UUUUGAAAGAUAGGUCCCAUGAAGGCAAACGGAAGGGGCGGGACUUCACCACUCUAUAGCCAUGCAGGCUAACAUAAAAAUGUGAGAAAAUCCCGCCAGUGUCUAAUUCUAAUUCUAAUGACAGCCGCGAGUGGCAGCCAGUGACAGCUAUAACGCUCUAUUUCUGUUUCCAUGCGAACGAACACCGUGUCAUGCGGAAGUUAAUCUAAACUGGGUUGGAAAAACGAUAGACGCCGUGGGGAGUUUAUUGUGGCGUUAUUGUGACGUUCUAUACAUUAUCCCUUACUCAGAGCCAUAUAUGGCUCUGCCCUUACUUAGCGGUUGAUGCUAGAAUGGAUCAGCAGGACGGACAGGGGCGGUCGUUCCGAACGUUCGAUGCAGAUGCCGAUUGUUGCGUUGUUAAGCAACCGAUGACGCUCCAGCUUCGCCUCAGCUGACGUUCUAGUCGUAGCUGUCACUUCAGUUUUUAAAACACUAGCGCGGCAAAUCAGCAAAAUGACGACUUUUGAAAAUCUCUCCGACUUAAAUACUUUCGUACAGGGAGUGGAGGACGAGUCGAGAUCAAAGUUCAUAACCCUUUCUGUUGACUGUAACUUCAAUAACAAAGUACAACAUGAAGACAAGCAGCUCUGGAAACCAGCGAGGCACUGGCUAGCUAACUGAGCCAAUGAGGAGAAAAAUUCAAGCGAAAUUCAUCUCACAUCAGCCUGUAACUUUCAAGCAAGAGCAAUUGAAUUGGACUUAUGAAGACUGGGCUAAUGGCGUGGACUCUGUCCCAUAUUAACAGGAUCGGGUGGAAUCGUUAGGUUGGCCGAAUUCACCUUUCUGAAGAUGACGUACUGUGUACGGUCAAUAUAAAACAGGGUGUUAAGAUGAAAACAGCGUGGGGGAGCUCCUGACCUGACAUUCGUGGCCUGCUCUCCUGUAUCUCCAUCCGAGGCAGGAAAAGUGGCAACGAUCUUGGGGCUGGGGAGCUUUUUGUUGCCCUCUGGCUUUCCAGGGGCCCCUGGAACCCCUCCAGGUCUUCCUCCUCCUCCGCCACCACCACCAGGCCCUCCAGGUACACCACCAGGCCCUCCU